rnacentral:lncRNA from 1 species
GUUGGACUUUCAUUGAUAUUUGACGUACAUACUUAUAUUGAUUAUUCGAGCCUUUUGAUAGCCGGUUUAUGAUUUUAUGAAAUGUGCAUCGAUUUGUCGUGGCUUUCAAAUUCAUAUUAUUAUUGUGUUGGUAUGGAUGUGUAGGGAUUCUUACUGGGUUGUAAAGCUCACCCCCCUUCUUCUUUUUCUUUACCAGAGUUGCAGGAUGCAUAGUGUUGGAUGGGAUGGGCGCAGAGUGCGAGCACCAGAAUCAUUAGUUAGUUAGUUGUUUACCCUUCUUUGAUGUCGAUGAACAUUUGAAGAGCUUGUAAAUGAACUAAUUUGUUUAUUUUGGACAUGUCGGACUGCUCUAUUUGAAUUACUAGAUUAAUUGUGGAUUUAUUGGAAUUUUGGUUAAUCAUAGGCCUUGCAUGAUCUUUAGGGCACUGCUCUAGGGCUCAUGCGGCCGGUCGCGUACCGGACCCGGGUGCUGGGUUCGGGGCGUGACACCUUCUCAAUUUAAUUAUUCCAAUACUUUCAUAAUAAACAAAAUGCACACCUCAUAGUGUCAUACAAGCUCAAAAACAAAU